rnacentral:tRNA from 1 species
GAUUCAUUAGCUCAGCGAAUAGAGCAACAGCCUUCUAAGCUGUGGGUCGCAGGUUUGAAUCCUGCAUGAAUCA